GAUGAACGCUGGCGGCGUGCCUAAUACAUGCAAGUCGAGCGAACAGACGAGGAGCUUGCUCCUCUGACGUUAGCGGCGGACGGGUGAGUAACACGUGGAUAACCUACCUAUAAGACUGGGAAAACUUCGGGAAACCGGAGCUAAUACCGGAUAAUAUAUUGAACCGCAUGGUUCAAUAGUGAAAGACGGUUUUGCUGUCACUUAUAGAUGGAUCCGCGCCGCAUUAGCUAGUUGGUAAGGUAACGGCUUACCAAGGCAACGAUGCGUAGCCGACCUGAGAGGGUGAUCGGCCACACUGGAACUGAGACACGGUCCAUACUCCUACGGGAGGCAGCAGUAGGGAAUCUUCCGCAAUGGGCGAAAGCCUGACGGAGCAACGCCGCGUGAGUGAUGAAGGUCUUCGGAUCGUAAAACUCUGUUAUUAGGGAAGAACAAAUGUGUAAGUAACUAUGCACGUCUUGACGGUACCUAAUCAGAAAGCCACGGCUAACUACGUG
rnacentral:rRNA from 1 species